rnacentral:misc_RNA from 1 species
AAAGUCGUAACAAGGUUUCCGUAGGUGAACCUGCGGAAGGAUCAUUAUCGAGCCGCCGACGCGGACUCGCGGUACUUCGGUGCCGUUGGGUCCCGUAGGCAAAUGGCCCAACCCUUGCUUCUUGACAACCAUUGUCUCGGCGGUACCGUGCCUUUCGGGGCCAGCGGGAUUCGUUCCGGCUAGUGUCCGCCAGAGAACCAUUAAAACUCGUUUAUCAGUUCGUCUAAAAAUGAAAUAAUCAAUAAAACUUUCAACAACGGAUCUCUUGGUUCCG